UAUUCCAUUGUGAUGCAACUUUGAUCUAAAUCAUGUAGAAAUUUGACAAAGAAAGUGAAAUUAUUAUAUUUUUUUUGACAAAACAAAGAAAGUAAAAUUGAAAUAUGAUAAUCACAUCUCAUGCGAGUCAUGCCCCUGUUUCACCUUAUAAAGAGUAUAGAUUGGCCAAAAUUAUUUGUGUAGAAUAUAGAUACUGAUUUUUCCCUAGAUAUGUUGAAGCUUCUUUAUAAUAUUAGGAGUCAUUGAUUUAUCACAUUUCCUAAUGUUGACUCUUCCUACCCAACUACUCCUCGAUUAUAUUUCUGUUACCAAUCAUUUAGCAUUAAUAGCUGUGAACAAUAAAACAGACCAAGAAAGCAACUUCAGACUUAGCCACUAAACUAACACCACACAAGCCUAAUACAAAAACACAAUAUAUCAAACACAAUUUAUUGAGUUCAUGACUGGCCCUGCAAUUUUUGUAAAUACUAGUCAAAUUGAAAAUUCACAAUAACAAUAACAAUACAAUCAUUAGUUAUUACAAUAUAAAUCAAUUGAAUGUACUCACCUUGUAUAGUUCCACGGUUGAAAAAAAAUUGUGUUCAUCAUUUAGAAAAAGUAGAGAAAUUGUUGAGAUAUAAGGGUUGUUGCACACAGAAUUGUCGUUCCAGGUAUACUGAGAAUCACGAGAUUUAGGGUUCGAAGGAGAUGGAGGUGUUGGGCCGAAACGAAGGACCUAGGGUUCGACAGAGAUUGAGUUGAACGAGGGUAUAAGGAACUAGGGUUCGACGGCAAGGUGUUGGGUCCAAACGGAGGUUUUUGAUAAGGAUGGAGAUGGAGGAUUGACGAGAUGGCGCUGUGAGAGUAGAGAAAAUCAGAACAAAGGAACAGAGGAACGAUGCAGUUGUGAACUUCUGAGGGUAGGAGAUA
rnacentral:lncRNA from 1 species